rnacentral:rRNA from 1 species
GAGUGAACGCUGGCGGCAGGCCUAACACAUGCAAGUCGAGCGGCAGCGGGUCCUUCGGGAUGCCGGCGAGCGGCGGACGGGUGAGGAAUACAUCGGAAUCUGCCCUGUCGUGGGGGAUAACCUAGGGAAACUUAGGCUAAUACCGCAUACGACCUACGGGUGAAAGCGGGGGAUCGCAAGACCUCGCGCGACAGGAUGAGCCGAUGUCCGAUUAGCUAGUUGGCGGGGUAAAGGCCCACCAAGGCGACGAUCGGUAGCUGGUCUGAGAGGAUGAUCAGCCACACUGGGACUGAGACACGGCCCAGACUCCUACGGGAGGCAGCAGUGGGGAAUAUUGGACAAUGGGCGCAAGCCUGAUCCAGCCAUGCCGCGUGGGUGAAGAAGGCCUUCGGGUUGUAAAGCCCUUUUGUCCGGGAAGAAAUCGUCUGGGCUAAUACCCCGGGCGGAUGACGGUACCGGAAGAAUAAGCACCGGCUAACUUCGUG